AACCGAUAAUAGCAAACUUGUGGAAACGCAAGGACGCAAAGCUAAAGGGCCUUUAACAUGGCAGCCAGCUACCGAA
rnacentral:ncRNA from 1 species